rnacentral:rRNA from 1 species
CGGGGCUUAAAGUCUUGUAAUUGGAAUGAUGGGAAUUUAAACCUCUUCCAGAGUAUCAAUUGGAGGGCAAGUCUGGUGCCAGCAGCCGCGGUAAUUCCAGCUCCAAUAGCGUAUAUUAAAAUUGUUGCAGUUAAAAAGCUCGUAGUUGAAUUUCUGCUGCAUUGCUUGUGUCCCUCUGGGGUCUGUGCAUGUGGUUUUUUUCGGACGGAGUUUCUUUGUCUGAAUGUUUACUUUGAGAAAAUUAGAGUGCUCAAAGCAGGCUUUCGCCUUGAAUAGUUUAGCAUGGAAUAAUAAAGUAGGACUUUGGUUCUAUUUUGUUGGUUUUAGGUACCAAAGUAAUGGUUAAUAGGAACAGUUGGGGGCAUUCGUAUUUAACUGUCAGAGGUGAAAUUCUUAGAUUUGUUAAAGACGAACUACUGCGAAAGCAUUUGCCAAGGAUGUUUUCAUUAAUCAAGAAC